GGUGGAGGGGGAGGAGCUGGUGGAGCUUCUGAAGCUGCACGACUCUGUGUACGAGCAGGCAAACAGCUGGUUCACCUCCCUGAAAGACAACAUGAAGAGCCAGAUCCUGAGCCACUUCGGACACCUUCCCAGCAAAGAUCCCGACCCACAGGGCAGUCCCAGUGGUCCGGCCUGGUCCUGGUGGCUUCUUGCUGUCCUUCCAUUGGAGGGUCGAGCCCAGCUCACCAUCCUGGCCAUGACAUCCCUCAAGGACCGCCUCAUUGCCAUCCGCAGGGUCCUCAUCUUCGUCACGCGCAAAAGGCCGCGGUGAUUGCCCAGCCGCUCGGGGAGACAGACCUGAACCGCUUGGAGUUCUAUGCAGUUCAGCAGUUCAUUCGCUCAUUUGUUCAGUCAUUCAUUUGUUAAUUUGAUCACUCAUCGAAUGAUCCAUUCACUCGUUUAUACGUGUGCAUUUUUCAUUUACUGGCCCAUACCUACAUCAGUUCGUUCUCUCAGAUGCUCAUGAAUUCCUUCCUGUGUAGCGCAGCAUUUCUGAGCACACGUGUCAGUUCUGUGGUGAGCGUCAGGUGGGUCGGGUUGCUGGCAUGAGGACAUUCCUGGUUUCACUUCUGUCUGUUCAUCCAGCCAACCCCCACCUGCGUUCUCUCACUGGACGAAUCAGGCUACAAUAUCUGAGCAAGUGACCUCUCACCUCUUGUUCUCUUUUGAGGCAGAGGUAAAAGCAGUAAGCUGUUUAGGUCACUUCUGGGUCAUUUCCCCGACUCUGUUAUGCAGGAAAGAAAAUUUAUCAGAAAAUCAGUGUGAGUGAAAAGGAUCAGGUUCAAGAGGAAAAACCUUUCCUACAUACACUAAGCAGUAUUUCACAUAAGCUGAAACAGAAGUCACCCACUCGAAAAGUCACCUAGUGCAACAUGAACACACCUGUGAUGACUGCAACACACAAAAGUGAAUGUACUGAUGAGGCUGUAGUAUCUGGAUGUUCAUCCCUUUUCUCCCUGCUACAUUUUUGGAAUCCGUUCGGCAAGUUGCACAUGAGGACAGAUUCCUGUGUGUGUGUGUGUGUGUGUGUGCCCUCGCAGCAGCUGCUUCACUCUAAAUCUUCCUGACUGAGCCAAAAUUAAUGUGCAGAAACCUGAAGCUUUCUGUCCGCUGCCUCACCCAGCGGUGGGCAUAUGUACCUCAGACUGUCUUGAUAGAAAGUCACAGGCACCAUGAGAGUCGUUGCACUGAGAUAGGACUGUGAUUUUGCCCAUGUUAACACUAAAAACCACAGACUAUACAAUGUGUGAGAACAAGUCUACAACAACGUGCUCAACUUGUUUUGAAAGGAGGUUCAAGUAAGAAAGUCGGGCUGUCGCACAAGUUCUAGCUACAUUUAGGAGACAGAUACGAAUGCAUCCUCUCGGAUACAGUUGAAACUUUAAUGUCCUAUUGUAGCAUAUCUGUGGGACUUAGUUAUAGGGGUCAAUUGUGUACUUUUUAUGUUGUUGUUUUUUUGUCUCUCUCUCUCUGCUAUGCCCUUAAGUGUAUGUGUAUGGUGAAAUCUUAAGUUGAGUUAUUUAUAUGUAUAUCAAUGUAACUCUGAGGCCUUUGUAAUGUUUUAUUUAAGGAACGUUUCCCCUCUAUCGCUUUCUCUCUCAGUGCAUUUACAUGCACACUGCAAUGCAGCAAUUAUGGUGCUUAAAGUUGAGUUUUCUUGUAAACAGUUUGUUUAUAGUCAAUGUUUCUCAAUAAAACAUGUGUAUCCUUGAAGCCUCGAAACAGAUGAAUAGGUUUCCUUCCUCAUACAACAUUUUUUAACGUGUUUUUGAAUGUGCGUUGUUUAUUCUAUCUUCCGUGCCUUUACUGGCGCAAUGCUGUGUCUCUUAGCACCCCCAACUUGUUAUCGGUUGGAAAGCUUGAAACUGUCUGCAGGAAUUUGUCUCAAUAGCGCAACUAGUGGUCAAAAAGUGGUUAACGUUGCACAAUAAAACCCCAAAUUUAUACAAUGAGUGAAUGAAAAGUACCAUGUGUUUUGUUUAUUUGUAAGAGCAAGCAGGUGACCAAUACGAUUUCCUGCUGAUGGUUUCAAGCUGGUCCACUGAUCAAAUGGUGGUUGCAGUAACACGUAUAAGACCCCCCCCCCCCCCACACACACACACACACACACACAAAGUUUUAGAUUUAAAAAAAAAAAAUCCAUUGCAAAUAUAUUUUAUGAAGAUUUGAAUUGUUUUGGUGAGAAACACUGACUGUUGACCUGACUGUGUUUGUUUACAAUCUGAUUCAAUGGUGUACCUUUUUAAAAGGAAGGAUGAAUGGUAAAGGAAGUGUUGAAUGCUUAAAUUUAACUAUCUGCAAGUUAUCAAAUGAAAUCAAGUAUUUACAAGCCGCAGUGACUCAAAAUAGUGAAGCACACUAUAAGCCACAUUAUGCUUAACUUUAAGCCGGUCAAGUUGUUUUCAUAAGACAGCUGUGGUUGUGAUCUUGGUGUGCAUGUAAAUGCACUGUUUCUCUGUAUAAUUCUGACUUCCAAAUGUUUGUGACUACUGCAGUCACACUGCAUUUCCCUGGUAUAUUUGUAAAGGGAGAUCUUAAACCUAUUUUUUAUCGCAAAUAAAGAAAAACCCAUUCUG